AGCGAACGCUGGCGGCAGGCUUAACACAUGCAAGUCGAGCGGGCAUCCUUGUGGUGUCAGCGGCAGACGGGUUAGUAACGCGUGGGAACGUGCCCUUCGGUUCGGAAUAACUCAGGGAAACUUGAGCUAAUACCGGAUACGUGCGAGAGCAGAAAGGUUUAUCUGCCGAAGGAUCGGCCCGCGUCUGAUUAGCUAGUUGGUGAGGUUACGGCUCACCAAGGCGACGAUCAGUAGCUGGUCUGAGAGGAUGAUCAGCCACACUGGGACUGAGACACGGCCCAGACUCCUACGGGAGGCAGCAGUGGGGAAUAUUGGACAAUGGGGGCAACCCUGAUCCAGCCAUGCCGCGUGAGUGAUGACGGCCUUAGGGUUGUAAAGCUCUUUUCUCCGGGACGAUAAUGACGGUACCGGAGGAAUAAGCCCCGGCUAACUUCGUG
rnacentral:rRNA from 1 species